rnacentral:rRNA from 1 species
GGGGAAGUAUGGUUGCAAAGCUGAAACUUAAAGAAAUUGACGGAAGGCCACCACCAGGAGUGGAGCCUGCGGUUUAAUUUGACUCAACACAGGAAAACUCACCUGGCCCGGACACCGUGAGGAUUGACAGAUUGAGAGCUCUUUCUUGAUUCGGUGGUUGGUGGUGCAUGGCCGUUCUUAGUUGGUGGAGUGAUUUGUCUGGUUUAUUCCGAUAACGAGCGAGACUCUAGCCUACUAAAUAGUUACUGGAUAAUUGCGUCCAGAAGACUUCUUAGAGGGACAAGCGGUGUUCAGCCGCACGAAGCUGAGCAAUAACAGGUCUGUGAUGCCCUUAGGUGUCCAGGGCUGCACGCGCGCUACACUGGAGGAAUCAGCGUGCUGUAACCAUUGCCGAAAGGCAUUGGUAACCCCUUGAAAAUCCUCCGUGAUCGGGAUCGGGAAUUGCAAUUAUUUCCCUUGAACGAGGAAUUCCUAGUAAGUGUGAGUCAUCAGCUCACGUUGAUUACGUCCCUGCCCUUUGUACACACCGCCCGUCGCU